GUUCACCACGGCAGCACUUGUAUUAGCACCAAAACUGGAAUGACAAAUGAUUAGCAUAGUCCCUGUACAAGGAAGACAUGAAACCUGUGAAGGGCUCUGCAUUUUA
rnacentral:snRNA from 1 species